AGAACAGCGACGAUGAUUCCCAUCACGAUGAAGGGCGGCAACAAGAAACAGUCACUGACCCUGGAGCUGGACCUUCAGCGCCAUCCAGCACAAUCAGGUCAAUCAGGAGAGAAGUAACGAAUGAGCAGAUCAACAAGUUGUCGAAACUUCUACCUGGCGGAAAAUACAGCGAGCUGUGCGGAAUAUUAGAAUUCGAUUUCAACUACAUAGACAAAAUAAAGCAGAGCAAUUUCAACGACGUCACGGCUGCUUUCGAAGUACUAUUGCAAGAAUGGAAACUCAAGGGUAGAUCCAUAGAGGAUCUCGAUGCAGCUCUACAAAAAGCCGGCCUUGGAGGACUUGUACCUGAAUACAAGAACUAGUUGUGGCAAGGAAUGUGUACGACACUAGCUCCUCCAACAAAAGUUCCUCGUCAAUUUUCUACACAUUCCAAAUUCUGAACUUCAACCCUGGACCCAAAACUAUAUUUAACCCUAAUCAUAAACCUUACAUAAAACCUAAAUAGCCACCUCAACCCUACCCUUUACAUGUGACGAAAUCAAACCUGGAGCAAUGGUCGCAUGAUCACGUGUCGGGUCACGUGAUAUGAAUCAAGCAUUAGCCACGACUGUUCUAUUUACCACAUGCAGUCACAAGAGCAACGACUACCUUUCCAAAGUAGCUUCGUUCUCGCCCAUAUUGUUUAUUUUGCGUUAAAAGAUUUAAAAUUGUAAACCCUUUAAGCAUUCAAUCGGCAAGCCUACAGACGAACCAUUUUACAUUUGUACGAUGGUUUAUACGUUUAUAUUUUCCUUAUAUUUUGAUUUUAAUUAUGUAAAUUUACAUGUAAC